GGCUCCUUGUAUAUUAAAAAUAAGGAGUCGGGCCUGCCCAGUGAAUUUUUCAACGGCCGCGGUACCCUGACCGUGCAAAGGUAGCAUAAUCAUUUGCCUUAUAAUUGAAGGCUUGUAUGAAUGGUUUGACAAGAAUGGAGCUGUCUCUGUAUAAUUAAAUAGAAUUUUAUUUGUAGGUGAAAAAGCCUAUAUUAAAUUGAAAGACAAGAAGACCCUAUCGAGCUUUAAAAAAAUUAAUAAGAGCUAAAAAAGUAUUAAAUAUAUAAAGUUUAUUUGUUAAACAUUUUAGUUGGGGCGACUGAGGAACAUAUAAAGCUUCCUUUAUAGUUUAUAUAUACUUACAUGUUUUGAUCCAAAAUAUUUGAUUAAAGAAAAUAGUUACCGUAGGGAUAACAGCAUUAUCUUCUUUGAGAGUUCAUAUCGAAAAGGAGGUUUGUGACCUCGAUGUUGGACCAGAAUGUCCUGAAGAUGCAGCCGUCUUCAAAGGUUGGUCUGUUCGACCAUUAAAAUUCUACGUGAUCUGAGUUCAGACCGGCGUGAGCCAGGUCAGUUUCUAUCUUCAAUUUUUAUAAUAAAUUUAGUACGAAAGGACCAAUUUAUUGUAAUUAAUUUACUAAAAUUGAUGAAAUAUAAAUUAAUAUUAAAUUCUUUAAAUAUGUUAUCAAAUUAGCAAAGUUAAUGCAAUUGACUUAGGAUCAAUAGACAUAGGUGAAAAUCCUUUAUUUGAUAAAUAGAUAUAUAAAGGUGGCAGAAUUAA
rnacentral:rRNA from 1 species